rnacentral:rRNA from 1 species
UACGAAGGGGGCUAGCGUUGCUCGGAAUCACUGGGCGUAAAGCGCACGUAGGCGGACUCUUAAGUCGGUGGUGAAAUCCUGGAGCUCAACUCCAGAACUGCCUUCGAUACUGGGAGUCUCGAGUUCGGGAGAGGUGAGUGGAACUGCGAGUGUAGAGGUGAAAUUCGUAGAUAUUCGCAAGAACACCAGUGGCGAAGGCGGCUCACUGGCCUGAUACUGACGCUGGAGGUGAC